ACGGGGCCCGCACAAGCGGUGGAGCAUGUGGUUUAAUUCGAUGAUACGCGGGGAACCUUACCUGGGCUCAAAUGUAUGUUGACGUAUUCUGAAAGGGAUACUUCUUCGGACAAUAUACAAGGUGCUGCAUGGUUGUCGUCAGCUCGUGCCGUGAGGUGUCGGGUUAAGUCCCAUAACGAGCGCAACCCCUAUCAUUAGUUGCCAUCAGGUCAAGCUGGGGACUCUAAUGAAACUGCCUACGCAAGUAGUGAGGAAGGUGGGGAUGACGUCAAAUCAGCACGGCCCUUACGUCCAGGGCUACACACGUGCUACAAUGGCCGGUACAAAGGGCAGCUACCUGGUGACAGGAUGCUAAUCUCAAAAGCCGGUCUCAGUUCGGAUCGGAGUCUGCAACCCGACUCCGUGAAGCUGGAAUCGCUAGCAAUCGCGCAUCAGCCAUGGCGCGGUGAAUACGUUCCCGGGCCUU
rnacentral:rRNA from 1 species